rnacentral:sRNA from 1 species
GCCAGGUACAGUGGUGCAUGCCUGUAAUCCCAGCGGCUUGGGAGGCUGAGACAGGAAGAUUGUGAGUUCAAAGCCAGCCUCAGCAAAAGCGAGGCAUAAGCAACUCGGUGAGACCCUGUCUCUA